UGAGAUUAGUUUUUCCCUCCGACACCACCCAUCGUACCUCACCCUGGGACGAGAUGCUGAGAUGAUCUGCGGGUGCGCAGUCACCGGGCGCGUCACGCAGGGAUUUCCUUUCGGCGAGGAAGCCGCGCUUUAGUGCGGAAUUCCACGGGGCUCCGCACCUCCCGAACCAUGGGGCAUCGUGAUCCGAUUUUUCUUUUGAUCAGCAGCGUAUUAAAUGAGAAAGCCACAGCGCUGCGUGUUCUCAGCUCCUCCUGCAGAGGGACUGGCCCCCUCCAAAUCCUGAGGCUUGGGUGCAGUCGGCCAGCGGAGCCUGGCACCGUGACAGGGCUGCGCUGUCAGAAAUUUGCCAGGUUCCCUGGAGUCUAAAUGACAGCGGUUCCAUCCCUUUCGGUUCACACUUGGUCAUCAAGCAGGUCGUUUGUCACACACCAGCGAUCGACCCUUGGCAUGAAGAGUUGGACUGUUUGGCUCUUUACUUCAGGCAGGGGCCACUCCGGGCUGAGCCCAGCAACCCCGCAGCAGUUCAGGUAAGGCGCCCACGUGACCGGCGGGAUACCUCAGCCUUCAGCACGUCGCAGUGGAAAGUGUGCGGGUCCCAGACUCCCCACAGCUCGAAAGUCUAAUUGGCUCUGCAUUUCUCAACUUCAGCCAGCAGGAUUCGGCCCAUACUAUUACUUUGUCAGCGAUAAUUAUGGCUUCCAGAAAUCAAUGAUCAACCUGUUCAGCUUGUUUACUUGUGAAAAAAAAACUCUGCACCCGAUCACUAUCAAACCAACCUUUACAUUGCAUCAGAAGCAUCUCAAAAAAAAGUAAAGCUUUCGGUUGUGCAUCUGGACAGUGUAUGUGUGGGUUUCCUCCCGAUCCUCCAGUUUCCUCCCACAAUCCAAAGACCUACCAGUUGAUUGGUCAUCAUAAAUUAUCCUUGUGACUCGCCUAGGGUUGAACUGGAGGGUUGCUGGGCCGUGCAUGAACCAAAAUUCUAAAUAAAAUUUAUUUAGCCAUUGAAAUGGAACACAUGAUUAGGCCAAGGCUCAUUCAGGGAGCUGUUUUACAAUGAUUUUGGAAAUCAUCUAGUUUAGUUUCAGACUGAUGAGAGGAAUGAACUCUGUGGCUACAGCACAGUGCCUGAGGGAGAGUAAAAGAUUUCUCCACACCCAGGCUGAAACACUAUCAGCUAAAUUCACCUAUUUUAAAUAGAAUUAAUGUUUGUAAAAGGAAUGUCAACUUAUACUUGAAAACUCCAGAAAAAAAUUUGACUUGUGAAGAUGAGAUACAUAUGUUUCUUGAUGAACUGUUAGCCCAGGGGCUUAAGUUGUUGGAUUAAAUUGGAGUGUGGGUGUGUAAAGAAAGAGUAGGCUUUGAGGCGGGCAGUUUGAGAAGAUCCAGCUUGAGGAAUUCAUGUUGCCAAGAGUUAAUUGGAGGACAUUUCAACUGGUGAUUUCACCAUGCUAACUGUUCAGAAACCUGAAAGCUUAAAGGAUGGCAAUGAAAUGUCAUUGUGCAUUGGAACUGAUGUUGUCAAAAGGAGAAGAAAUUGUAAUCCAAAGUAACAUAGCUUCGAGGUGUACCUUUAACCUCAAUAGUAAACAUUUCUACAAAUACCUCCAGCUAAGAAGUUUUGUUAAGGUAAACCAAAACAACACAAUUGCCAGAUCCCUACAUUCACACUUGAAAAAAAAUUACAAUAAAGGACAGUUUGAGAAAGGGUAUCAUUUUGUAAUUUUAUAAUUUGCUGGUAUCUUGCUUGUCUGAAAAUUCACAAUACAAAUUGAAAACUUAGGAGGAAAAUUUGCAGCUUAAAAUUUCGGACGAAGAGUGGAAAACAGCUUGUACCAAUGCUCAUACUAAGUCAAUAAACACUCGCCUUAAAUUGAUACAGUACAAAUGGUUAAUGUUGACAUAUGUCACACCAGUGGAAUUAAACUGAUACAACAAAAACAUAUCAGACAUAUGCACAAAAUGUACAGAAGCUAAAGGUACAUUGUUUUAUUGUAUGUGGCAAUGUAGAGAGAUUGGAGCAUUCUGGGAAGAAGUACGAGCUAUAAUCAAGAAAAUUAUUUCAGAACAAGUUUCACUGGACCCUAAACUCUUUCUGUUGAGUUUGUACCUAGAGAAACAUAAUUACAGAAAAAAUUACAAGCACUUAUAGAUCUCAGCUUACUUCAUGCUAAAACAUGUAUUGCACAAUUAUGGAAAAGUACUCAUAGACCAGGCACUACUCAAUGGAUAAGGCAGAUGUUCUCAAAGUCUCCCAUUGGAAAGGAUAACCUAUAUAUUAAGGUCUAAACAGCAGAUAUUUGAGAAUAUAUGGAGAUCCUUCAUUAACUACGUCAAGGAUGUGGACUUAACAGAAGAUUAAGAGUAUUAUCUUCUGUAGACAAUGCAGCUUCCAAAAUUUGUAGAAGAUUUAUAUUAUUUAUUUAUUUAUUGAUUAUAAAUACCUGUUAAAUUUUACACAUUUUUUACCACUUGUUAAAAUAGGAGAAGCAUUUUGUGUGUUUUUUUUGUGUGUGUUGUCUUGUUUGUUGUGUUAAUACAGCAACUUCUGUAUUUUCUGAAUAACAUAAGAAAGUAUAGGAAGGUAAAAGCUGUAUUUCAUGGUAUUAAAAUGCAAAUAAACAUAUUGUGGUAAAAAAAUAGCUUGCAAAGAAACUGCAAAUGACUUAAUAUCCAAGGUAUUUAAAUAUAUUCAAUUAAAACAGAGGCUCCCAACCUCUUCUAUACCGUGGGCCAAUACUGUUAAGCAAAGGGUUUGUGGACCCCCAGAUUGGGAACCCCUAAAUUUAACAGUAAUGGGUUAUUUACUUCAUGGAAGAUCCAGUAACCCUUAAAGCUUUAAAUGCAACCAAAAGACUUAAUUUGAACAGCAUGGUAAAUGUGUACAUCUCUUUAUUGCUCCAUCAUUCAUAAAAAGAUUAUUCUUAAUUAGCUCAUGUGACAAACUUGCACCUCCCCAUAAGGCAAUAUGUAGUAUUGUUAAGGCAGCUGGAAAAAGUUAUCAGUAUAUAACACGGCUCUGCAUAAACUGAAAAUGUUCCCUCUUUCCCAUAAUAUGAUCCAUAAAAAAUUGGGAGAAAUUAAUUGACAAGUAACAGCACUCAAUAAUUCACACAUUAUGUU